CAAAAAGACAAAUCUCUGAAUCAAAAGGAGUCUGUCUCUUCACAUGAAUUCAAAAUUCAAAUCUCUGAAAACUCCUUCACCUCAUCCAAGAAUUCAAAAUUUAAAACCCUCACUCUCUUCACAUCAAAAUCAACUCACAUAAUCCCCACUCUCUUCACACCCAUUCACAUCAUAAUCUCAUCUGGGUUUUGAGAUUAAAACAACAUGUACGGAAGAGAUCCGUGGGGCGGGCCGUUGGAGAUCAACAACACGAAUUCAGCCCCCGAUGACGACCGGAGCCGGAAUCUGAACGAUUUCGAUAAGGCAUGGCUGUCUCUUUGUAAGUACGAUCGUAACCCUAGCUUGCAUAUACACAUGUGACACCCCUCCCUAUAUAACGAACCACCUUCACAGACGAUUUCUGCAGUCAAGCCUCAAGAGGCACCAUAUCUCUAUGCUUCCAAAUCAUCAUAUUAACCCUUCUCCUCACAACCUCUGCAAAAUUUCUCUCAAAUUCUCAUCCUCAACUGCCAUUACAGCUAGAGCUGCACACUUUGUAGUUUUGGUUCAGGAAACGCGAGAAUAAGGCCUGAGAUGGAGGAAUUAUCAAGCAGGAGUAGAGAGGCAGGGUAGAAGCAUGGUGACUUAUGGUGUUAUGGCUAGAAGCCAAUAACUGUGUCAACAUCAGCCUCCGUAUUUAAAAGUUACAAAGAAGUUGGACUCAAUACUAUUGUUUUGGCUGGAGUUGAAUAUGAAAGUCAAAGUUCACGAGACUGGGCUGCUAGAGAUGGCAAACUCUUUGAUGCAUCACAGUAUGCUUUUUUCAGUCAAGAUAGUUUAGGCAAGGCUGAUUUUGGGUGUUUAGAAGGUGAAGAAGAUAAUUCACUAAAUGGACCUGGCGAUGAUGAAUCCCGUUUGUUUGAGAGAGGAGGUAUGUUUGUCUGUUGUGUACGUAAAUAAGAUUUAUCGAUGGUUGUUAUGCAUGUUAGUUGUCCUAUUUCCCUUUUUGCGAACUUAUGCUAUUUUUUAUACUAAUUUUGUGUAUAUUGUAUGCAUCUGAUAGAGAAACUUCUGGUUUUUAGUUGUGGUUUGAUGAUUGUUCUGCCAAACGGUUCAUUGUGUGUUUGAAACCACUGUCGGUUAAAACAUUGUUAGAGAAGAACUUCAUAGUUUGCACCUCUAUGACCAUCAGAUUGUAGUUUUGAAACACAAUGUGUGGCAUGUGAAGUGCCUCAAUUAGGUACAUUCUCGCUUUCGUUCAUCGUCUUAUUAUAGCUAUUUUUAGUAAAAAAAAAAUUAUUCUUCGAUUAGUUUUUUUUUAUUUGAUGGCCAUUGGGAUUAACAAACCUGUAUCCUUGGAAUAAUCUAUAUGAUUAUGUAGAAUGAUUAAUGUGGUUUUAUUAAUUAAAAAUAUACUUUGGCUGACUUUAAACCUUUGGACCCAUUUGACUACACCCCAUUAGGGACAUGUGGUUUGGAUAGUGACCUCUAUCCGCAUCAAUAACCGAAACUGGUAAUGGCGAUUUGGUGGCGGACAUCAGAGUUUGGUGAUGGUAGUCAUGACUCCGGCGGUUAUUGGGGUUUAAGUUUACUUAGUUCAAAGGCUUAGUGUCAACUACCGUGAAUUUGUAUCUGUACCGUCAGUUUAUAUGAAUUGGAGUUAAUUAUUGCUGCAUGAAUUUGUGUAUGCACCCUCUAACAAUGAAAGCAGAAUGCUGAGAAUGCUUCUUAAUAAUUGAAGCAUAAGCAUGGGUAAAGAUGGCCUUCCUAAUUCAGUGGGUGAUGUUCCAAAUCUAGGAUCAUCUAUGCCUAUUCUACCUUGCGGUGAUCCAGAUAUGUUACUUAAGGUGGCUUUUUUAUAUUAACAAUGUCUUUUUUAUUCUUUUUAAGGAUGUAACAAGACGACCGACUAUUAACUUUUUUUAUAUGGAUUAUUAUAUGUAGUUUUGUAUUCAUAUUUUUCGUAUCAAUAAUUUACGAAAGUAAAUAAAUAAACAAAAAGGGUUGAUGGGUUAAGCCCAACCAUAU